rnacentral:rRNA from 1 species
AGUGAACGCUGGCGGUAGGCCUAACACAUGCAAGUCGAACGGCAGCACAGUAAGAGCUUGCUCUUACGGGUGGCGAGUGGCGGACGGGUGAGGAAUACAUCGGAAUCUACUUUUUCGUGGGGGAUAACGUAGGGAAACUUACGCUAAUACCGCAUACGACCUACGGGUGAAAGCAGGGGAUCUUCGGACCUUGCGCGAUUGAAUGAGCCGAUGUCGGAUUAGCUAGUUGGCGGGGUAAAGGCCCACCAAGGCGACGAUCCGUAGAUGGUCUGAGAGGAUGAUCAGCAAAACUGGAACUGAGACACGGUCCAGACUCCUACGGGAGGAAGAAGUGGGGAAUAUUGGACAAUGGGGGAAAGCAUGAUCCAGCCAUACCGCGUGGGUGAAGAAGGCCUUCGGGUUGUAAAGCCCUUUUGUUGGGAAAGAAAAGAAGCAGGUUAAUACCCCGCUGUUCUGACGGUACCCAAAGAAUAAGCACCGGCUAACUUCGUG